GUGAAGAUGAGCAAGCGGAGGUCAGCGGCUCUAACUGGAGUUCAGGGCGUCUCUCUGGCUCAGAAGCUCCUGCGCGAGAGACUGUGUCAUCAGAAGCUGCCGGAUCAGCCUGUGGGCCUGGACUCCCAGUACAAGCACCUGCUGGAGCUGCUGAGACGUACAGCUGUUCAUGGGGAGAGUAACUCUGUCCUCAUUGUUGGUCCUCGAGGAUCCGGUAAAACUAUG